AUGGAAAGAAGAACUAAGAUUUUCUUUAUGAUGGCAUUGCCACGAUGGUUGAGAGGUGUGCUUUUUUCUUUGACGCAUCUCCAAUACUACCACUCUUUCAUUCCCUCUCAUGUUUCUCAACACUCAAGUUACCAUUCUGUGUUCUGUGUUCUGUACUUUCAACUCCUAACUAGUAGUAUCUGUAACCAAGAUUCAUUUGGCAUGUGUGGGCUUUUGGAUUUUUUGAAAUUCAGCUGCUAUGUAUGCACGGGCCGUUCAGAUUUUGUCUGGAGGUGUUUGGUUCUCAGCUGCAAUUCGUCUUCGUUUGAACUUCUGGCUCUCCGAUCUGAUCUUUGCGCGGAGAUUCGCGCUUGGAGUUGGUUUUUUUCAUGCCGGGUGCGCUCUAGUUUCCGGGCCAGCCCGUUAGCUCGCUGCCUUUUCCACUUCUAUUUUUAA
rnacentral:rRNA from 1 species